GAUGAACGCUAGCGGCAGGCUUAAUACAUGCAAGUCAAGGGGGUAGCAAUACAACCGGCGCACGGGUGAGUAACGCGUACACAACAUACCAUAUACUGGAGUAUAGCUUUGGGAAACUGAAGGUAAUCCUCCAUAACAUUGCGAGAGGGCAUCUAAUUGCAAUUAAAGUUCCGGCGGUAUAUGAUUGGUGUGCGUUUGAUUAGCUAGUUGGUAGGGUAACGGCCUACCAAGGCGACGAUCAAUAGCUGGCGUGAGAGCGCGACCAGCCACACUGGAACUGAGACACGGUCCAGACUCCUACGGGAGGCAGCAGUAGGGAAUAUUGGACAAUGGGCGAAAGCCUGAUCCAGCCAUGCCGCGUGAUAGAUGAAGGCCCUCUGGGUUGUAAAUAUCUUUUAUCUGGGAAGAAACUCCUCUAUUCUUAGAGGCCUGACGGUACCAGAGGAAUAAGCACCGGCUAACUCCGUGCCAGCAGCCGCGGUAAUGUA
rnacentral:rRNA from 1 species